rnacentral:lncRNA from 1 species
CAAUUGAGUUCGUCGUUCUGCUUUAUCUGCCAACCCAUGUCAUCGGUUAUUUUGUAAGCAAUGGUUUCAAAGGCGAAACAUUUCGUGAGACUCGUUCAAGUUGAUUCCGCUGUUUGUUCUAUCGACCACCGCAAAAUGGAAUGCAAACUUCACUUCGACGAGAUUUAAAAUCGAACCGUAACAUAGAACAUUUGUGGAUACUUCUACUCCGGAAUAUAUUGGAAGGAUAAAGUUUCCAGGAUAUUUCCGAACUGAAGAAGAACAAAAGACUUGGGAGAAGAUAAUUUAUGGUCAUAAGAUAGACAGCGUAUGUUGCAACGGCAAAAGUAUUUGGAAAACACCGGAAAAAAUGCGUGACAUCAAUGGCACGGAACGCGACAUCGUACAGUUCACCAAACUGAGGCAGUUUUAUAGGGAAGUAGAAUGCACACAAGCGGUUGAGUAUGAGAAAGUGACAUGCGAAAUGGAAAAGGCCCUAUGCAGCUUAGUCUAUCAAUACAAC